rnacentral:rRNA from 1 species
GAUGAACGCUGGCGGCGUGCUUAACACAUGCAAGUCGAACGGAAAGGCUCCUGCUUGCAGGGGUACUCGAGUGGCGAACGGGUGAGUAACACGUGGGUGAUCUGCCCUGCACUUCGGGGUAAGCCUGGGAAACUGGGUCUAAUACCGGAUAGGACCACAUUUUGGAUGGUGUGGUGGAAAGUUUUUCGGUGUGGGAUGAGCUCGCGGCCUAUCAGCUUGUUGGUGGGGUAAUGGCCUACCAAGGCGUCGACGGGUAGCCGGCCUGAGAGGGUGUACGGCCACAUUGGGACUGAGAUACGGCCCAGACUCCUACGGGAGGCAGCAGUGGGGAAUAUUGCACAAUGGGCGCAAGCCUGAUGCAGCGACGCCGCGUGGGGGAUGACGGCCUUCGGGUUGUAAACUCCUUUCGCUAGGGACGAAGCGCAAGUGACGGUACCUGGAGAAGAAGCACCGGCUAACUACGUG